rfam:Salmo salar isolate Sally breed double haploid chromosome ssa25, whole genome shotgun sequence.
UGAACGCACUAGGUGUAAGUCGCUCUGGAUAAGAGCGUCUGCUAAAUGACUAAAA